GACGAAGGAUGCAAGCGUUAUCCGGAUUCAUUGGGCUUAAAGGGAGCGUAGGUGGCCUUAUAAGUCAGUGGUGAAAUCCUGUUGCUUAACAACAGAAUUGCCAUUGAUACUGUAGGGCUUGAGUACAGAUGCCGUUGGCGGAAUAUGACAUGUAGUGGUGAAAUACAUAGAGAUGUCAUAGAACACCGAUUGCGAAGGCAGCUGACGAAACUGUAACUGACACUGAGGCUCGAAAGUGCGGGGAUCAAACAGG
rnacentral:rRNA from 1 species